rnacentral:rRNA from 1 species
AUUGAACGCUGGCGGAAUGCUUUACACAUGCAAGUCGAACGGCAGCACGGGGGCAACCCUGGUGGCGAGUGGCGAACGGGUGAGUAAUACAUCGGAACGUGCCCAGUCGUGGGGGAUAACGUAGCGAAAGUUACGCUAAUACCGCAUACGAUCUACGGAUGAAAGCGGGGGACCGUAAGGCCUCGCGCGAUUGGAGCGGCCGAUGUCAGAUUAGGUAGUUGGUGAGGUAAAGGCUCACCAAGCCGACGAUCUGUAGCUGGUCUGAGAGGACGAGCAGCCACACUGGGACGGAGACGCGGCCCAGACUCCUACGGGAGGCAGCAGUGGGGAAUUUUGGACAAUGGGCGCAAGCCUGAUCCAGCCAUUCCGCGUGCAGGACGAAGGCCUUCGGGUUGUAAACUGCUUUUGUACGGAACGAAAAGGCUCUGGUUAAUACCUGGGGCUCAUGACGGUACCGUAAGAAUAAGCACCGGCUAACUACGUGCCAGCAGCCGCAGUAA